GGCUGAUUUUCCUCUGAGGCCUGUUUGGGCCUAGCAGGCCGCUGAAGCAUGGCCCCGAUCUCUCUACCUUCUAUCUGGGUUCCAGCUUUCUGGGAACGUCGCCCCAUGGCGGGCAUGAAGUCUCCCGAGUUGAAAGGGGAUCCGAUGCCAGGGAUGCUUGUAGGGCCUUGAUAGGCUCCACCGUAGAGCGCCGCCAGGAUAGG